rnacentral:other from 1 species
UUAUACCUGCCCUGCUGGUGAUUAAGAUGGAAAAGUUGAUCCCGCAAAUUAGAUCUUUAGGGAGUCCGGGUAAGGGAUGUGGUGUGCAUACCCCGCACUUCGGUACGGGGGAGCCUAAACACCCUUCAGGGCACCCACCUUAUUUAAGGGGAUCUAAUUUUUCAUCUACACCGCAGGGUGGGUUAUU